AAGACUAUAGACCUGCGGAGUACCUGCGGAAGGAUCAUUACAUGGCGGAGAAGGUGGGCAACCUGGCCAACAUCCAGGUUGUGAUGCCUUCACGCUCUUCCACCCUUGUCUAUUUGCACCUUCUGUCGUUCCCUCGGCGGGUUUCGACCCGCCGGCGGCAACAUUGAAAAACCCUUUUUGCAGUUAGCAUUCAAUUCUUCUGAUCAAAUAUUAAAUCAUUACAACUUUUAACAACGGAUC
rnacentral:misc_RNA from 1 species